rnacentral:ncRNA from 1 species
UGAUAGCGAUGAAGCGUGAGGUUGCUGCCGAGUGCAAAGAGCACGAUAGCAGGUUUUCCGUGGAGCGAAUGUCAAGUUAGGAAACUGACGACAA